CCCGUAAAUGUAGAAACACCGGCGUUUUUUAAAAAAUACACCCUUCACUGUAAACCAAACUCCUGCGGUGGAGUUCCUGUUUACGACGCAUUUGUGUAAAUUUAGCUAAUCCGUGUGUGCAUAGCCUGAGCGGUGUUAGCCUCACGGUGCAGCGUGGGCCGGCGGCACAAUCCGGUGCCAUCUGGGUGUAAAACCCGCGAUAUUACACCUAGAACAUAACGUGUUAAACAACAGCAUGCUUAAUCUAAAACCUGCAUGUGAUAUUUGUAGGUAAAACCAAGAAAUAAACAUCUUUUCUCCAGUGUUGGUGCAGCCGGGCCGGCCGUGCGGCGGGCGCUGCCUCGGUGUCUCUCAGUGAUGAUACUUUUCACAGACCUGUCCUGAAUGACUGUGAUUGCACUUUAUUAUUCUGAUGGGAGACUCUACGAAAAGCUUUAGUGAAGUGUGAGCACGUUUGCAAGCUCCAGCAAGGCUUAUCACGUGGUGCUCUAUCUGUUGCAACCUGCUAAUUCAUCCCCUCUUUUCUAGAUGGUGAAGAAAAGUCUGGAAGCUUCCUCCUGCAGAGGUGUGAGGAAGAUGAGGAGAAACUGCUGCCUGCUCGAGGUAUGCUACACUGAAUGGCAGAGGGGCAGAAAAUCACCCUGACUGGUUGGCGCCCGCAGUGCUGUAACAGAGCCUCUAAAAAGCUGGCACGCCGACUGAAGUUGGACUCCAUGCAAAGCGAGGGAUGCUGACGGCUGCGUGACAAAGCCCCAUGACUCAACAUGAGGGCGCAGCAGCAAGUCACAUUGAAGGAUGAUUCAAGGAGACCUUUUGCUGGAUGGAUGUGGUAGACUGAGGUACCUGGAUAUGAGAGGAGACGGACUGCAGGACACAUGGACUUGGAGCAUCUACACAAACUAAGAUGUCAUUCAUCCAUGCAGUUCUGCGGUGCUGUUGAGUCUCACCUGUGCUCCUGUGCCCCGUCUCUGCUGGUCUUUCUGCUUUCAACUACCUGCAGUUCACCUGAGGAGUGGUGACGGGAUGAAGAAAGUAGCCUCCUGGAAUUGUGCAGAAGAGCAAUUAAAUGCAGCUCUGUGCCACUGGAGGUUGAUCAGUGAUCCUGCUGGGCUCCAUCUUGUCUCUGAUGCUGAUCUCCAACCAGGCGAGCUCUUGGACAGCUGUCUGCAGUUGGUGGCUGCACAGUAAGACUCAAACUUGCAGAUGUGCCGUCAUGGACGCUCUACUGUAGCCUGUCAUCUGGAGCUGCCAGUGUUGUCCUGAUCGUUCUGUUUACAGCUGUUACUCCCACAUGGAUUUUGCUUUUACAAAAAAUGUACAUGCAUGUUAAACCAGGUGUUCAAAGAACAAAGAUGAAUUUCUGUAUGAACACACCUGAUGAGCUCAUCAAAUCAGUCUGGAUUUCUUUUCUAGUGACCUUGUUAGCUUUGGUUCAUUAAUUCUGAAAUUGUAUUUGUGCAUCAAUCCACCAAGUGUUGUCCUGGAAUUUUUGUUGUGUUAAAAUAAAGUUUGUUUCACUUGGA